rnacentral:rRNA from 1 species
AAUUUUGGACAAUUGGCGCAAGCCUCAUCCAGCCAUGCCGCGUGAGUGACUAAGUCCUUCGGGUUGUAAAGCCCUUUCGUACGGAAAGAAAUCGCGCAGGCUAAUAUCCUUCGCGGAUUACGGCACCGCCAUAAGAAGCACCGGCAAACUACGUUCCUACAGCCGCGGUAAUACGUAGGGUUCGGUCGUUAAUCGGAAUUACUGGGCGUAAAGCGUGCGCAGGCGGUUGAUUAAGACAGGCGUGAAAUCACCGGGCUUAACCUGGGAACUGCGCUUGAGACUGGUCAGCUAGAGUACGGCAGAGGAGGGUGGAAUUCCACGUGUAGCAGUGAAAUGCGUAGAGAUGUGGAGGAACACCGAUGGCGAAGGCAGCCCCCUGGGCCGAUACUGACGCUCAUGCACGAAAGCGUGGGUAGCAAACAGG